rnacentral:tRNA from 1 species
AGGCCAGUAGCUCUAAUUGGUAGAGCGUCGGUCUCCAAAACCGUAGGUUGUAGGUUCGAAUCCUACCUGGCCUG